rnacentral:rRNA from 1 species
CCUACGGGGGACAGCAGUGAGGAAUAUCGGUCAAUGGGCGCUAGCCUGAACCAGCCAAGUAGCGUGAAGGAUGACUGCCCUAUGGGUUGUAAACUUCUUUUAUAUGGGAAUAAAGUGCAGUAUGUAUACUGCUUUGCAUGUACCUUAUGAAUAAGGAUCGGCUAACUCCGUGCCAGCAGCCGCGGUAAUACGGAGGAUCCGAGCGUUAUCCGGAUUUAUUGGGUUUAAAGGGAGCGUAGGCGGGUUGUUAAGUCAGUUGUGAAAGUUUGCGGCUCAACCGUAAAAUUGCAGUUGAUACUGGCAGCCUUGAGUACAGUAGAGGUAGGCGGAAUUCGUGGUGUAGCGGUGAAAUGCUUAGAUAUCACGAAGAACUCCGAUUGCGAAGGCAGCCUGCUGGACUGUAACUGACGCUGAUGCUCGAAAGUGUGGGUAUCAAACAGGAUUAGAUACCCGGGUAGUC